rnacentral:rRNA from 1 species
AAAUUGAAGAGUUUGAUCAUGGCUCAGAUUGAACGCUGGCGGCAGGCCUAACACAUGCAAGUCGAGCGGCAGCGGAAAGUAGCUUGCUACUUUGCCGGCGAGCGGCGGACGGGUGAGUAAUG